rnacentral:lncRNA from 1 species
CGGCCUUUGCGCCCGCGGUGGGGUCGAUGCUUGGACGGAGGCCGGCCGGAUGCGCCGAGGAAGCAGGCUGUUCGGAGUCGAAUUCCGCCGACGGCGACACGGGUGGAUGAUGGCAACCAGUCCAAGGGGAGGGAGAGGGAAAGCUAAGACGAAGAAGAGGGACGGAGCUGGAAGCAAGCCGCCCGGGGGAGCAGCUAGGCUCGAGCACUGUGGGCAAUGGAUGGAUGGAUCGGCGCUGUCACUGACCUGACCAGGCGCGCGUGACGGCGACGCCGGCGAUGGAUCCAUCAUCCACCUGCAGCUGGUACAGUACUUGUGGGCACUCCAGAAUUGCAGAUCCAUCCAUCGCUAUAGCCAUAGCCUGCCCUGGAGGCUGGACGUACGCCGUCUUCUCUAGCGCUUGAAUACAUCCGGUCCAGGGUGUCCAUCCACCAAGGGCGCGUUUGGCAGACCGCGUGGAGGUUGGCCCAUGCUCAGCUGGUACAACUAGCUGUGUUUGCUAGUCUGGUUGGCCUCCCGGACUAGGUCCGUGCAAAAACGACCCGCCAGCUUGCAUCGCGUGGAACGCAAAAGCCGGACGUUUCACGCGGUGCAAACCCACACAAGCGCGUUUUCAUGCACGCAGAGGGAAGCGCGGGAGAUGAACGCGGCCUGACGCCAUUAUUUGGGCUGGCUAGGGUUACCAUCGCCGGUAUAUAGCGGUGGUCUCCCGGGCACGUCGCCCUCCUCCCCGCAGACGCGCCGCCUCCACCGACUCCUCCACUCCUCUCUCCUGUCUCCCUUUCGCACUCGACUCCUUCACUCCUCUCCUCUCCUCUCAUUCUGGUGACUUUAGGGCGGAGGCGACAUCGCGACUGGUGGCGGGACGCCUGAUCCGGAGGUGUCCGUGGUCGCCUGCACCGGCGGCCACGGGUACUUCUUCACCGGCGAGCGCGGGUACUUCUUCACCGGCGAGCGACGGGUCUCUGUUAGCAAUGAACAUUGGAUCCAUGCUUCGUCUUCAUCACUGAAUAGAUCUGCUACCUCUUCGUCCCCGGCAACUUGAGCAACAUUUUCGUCCCUGGCGUGACCUGCUUCUUCCUCUCCACCGAGCAGAUCUGCGUCGUCUACUUAUUGUUCCAAGCGUCCCUCAGCUCAUCCACCGGCACGCGCUACUUCCUCAUCUUCCCCACGAUGGUCGUUUUCAUCUUCGCGGAGGUAUGUCCCGGAUCCACUAUCCUCUUGCAGUUAGGAUGGAGGUUCAUCUUGUUGUUCGAUCUUUUAUGAUUUGUUGGGUGGAAUCCCUCGGGUUAGGGUUCCCGCAGAGUGGAUCUGAUAUUACGGUUUCUUUAUGCGGUUAGUGGGGUAUCCUCGUCGGAUCUGCAUGUCUAUUUGAUGCACUGUCCUAGCUUCUAUGUCUUAGCUUGUUGUUUAUAGUCGAUUCAUGAGGUUACUUAUCGUUCAUGUGUAGUUACUGCGUGGAUGUGGACAUGUUGCCAUGAACCUAUCUCUAAUUUCGGUCUGUGUUGCUGACGAGGAGCCUGCCUGGGGCUAAUAUGGUUGAUCUGUGAUGUAGUAGCUACUACUGCCUUCUAGCUCAGGGAAAAUAGUUGAGCAUGUCUCCAUCCCUAACCAGUCCUUUCUUUUGCACAGAUCUUUAUAUACGUUGGUCUGACCUAUUAGGGUGUAGCCUAACUUGCACUUGCCCUUUUGUGUUAAUUUUUGGAUUCACAUGGGGUGGCUAAUUACUAAUUAAGUUCUAUGGCAGCAUGGCAAGGCUAAGAACAUUGGAACUAACUAUUUGUAAGGAAUUGAAUGGUAAGUAAGUAUUGUAAUAUGAUGAUCUAGUACUGCUAUAUAACUGUGAUGCUUGUGAUGUGAUGCUAUGUAUGCAUGUUUACGUCAGAUGCCUAUUAGCUUUACUUUAGCAAUUUGCCAUCUUGACAUUUUCCCGAUCCGCUUUACUUUGCCAUGAUCUUAGUCUGUUCUUUACCAUGUUAACAUGUUACUACUGUUGUUUAACUUGAUAUUUACCUUGGUGAGAGUUCCUGCUGUUACUUACCUACUUGGUUGCCAUGUUAAGUUGUGAUCAUGUUCCUUCUGUUAUUGAAUUAUGUGUUGAACUUGAUACCAUUUUCCCGUUAUUCUUCACCUAUUUCACUUGUUACCUUGUUGCUGCUGUUGUUUCCCUCUUUCUUUGGCCUAUGAUGAUUACUACUGGGUUGGGCAACGAUGAAGUGGCAUUUCUAUUAUGGUUCUUGUACGUGUUGUUUUUUGUUUGGUGUCUUUCAACUUUAUUGCUUUUGUUCUACUCUUUCUUUCUACUCUUAUGCUGCCACUUUGGAGUCCACCUGUCUAUAUGGCAGUUUGUGGAUUUGACUUAUGAUCUAAGACCCGUCAUAUUUAUUUCUAUGCCUGUGAUGCACUUGUACUGAGGCAAUCUCAUGUUGGCUGAUGUUCUGUUAUGUUUGUUUAUCUGGAGAUGAUAACCUUAGUUAUUUGUGCUUUGACCCAACACAUUCUUGAUCUGACUUUGUGGUUUUUGGUGUUAUGGGUGUGAGGCCUUAAUAACCUCAGUUGACCUAAUUUCGUGUCAAAAUUCUAGUUUUGUGGUUCUAAUUUCGCUACUUCAAGUCAUUUGUGCAAGUGUAUAUUAUUCCUUGUUGGUUCACAUGCAAUUGUCAUGCAACAUACCUCUUAAUGAUGUUGCCGUACUUGUUAAUUACUUUCUCAAACUGAUGUUAUUAGCUUUCUAUGUAAAUUUUUGUUAUAUUUGAACUGAUAAACUUCCUAAUUAGGUCUUUCCAAUAAGAGUUUAUGCAUUCAUCCUUUGUUCUCUACAUUUCUGGGCGCCUGUGUCUGGGUGGUAAACGGUGAGGGCACUUGUCCGCUGUGCACGCCACCAAACGCUAUCUUUAGAUGGCAGUUUGGGGUAGUUAUGAAGGGCGCACAGCCAGCCCAUCAUAACAAACACAAUCCCAACCCAGUCAGCACCAUAGGGUGCAGAUUUACCAAUCAACAUUUCUGCACCCUAUAAGCCUGGCCCGUCUGCCUCGGGCCUAGCUCACGGGUCCGACUGAGCCUAACGCGCCCAAUGGUCCACCGUCCAUGGCCGACGAUCACUGAUUGAUCGAUCGUCGUCCCAGCAGCGCGUACGACUCAGAUGUCAUAUCCCUCUUGUUCUCCCGUCGGUCGAGCCGGAACAGUGAUCCUUCCUUCGAUUGGGCAUGCUCAAGCAUGUGUGAUUGAUAUAAUGCUGUACUUAGCAGCUGGCUGCUACAGUGCUAAUGUGCUAUAGUGCGAGCAAUAAGCGUGUGUAAUGUGUUCGUGCACGUGGACGCUUUACUGGUGCUCGAUUAGCUCUGCUCCCAGAGCGCGAUGAAUAGGCGAUGCAUGACUGUCAGCAAUCAGCAUGCGCAACUGUUGCUUUCAUUCAGAGAUGCCUGCCUGCCUGACUGACUGACUUACGAUGUUGUGUCGGCUGCAGCCUCGGACUUUCUGCCUCGCUCCCUGCCAUG